rnacentral:rRNA from 1 species
AUUGAACGCUGGCGGCAUGCUUUACACAUGCAAGUCGAACGGUAACAGGCCGCAAGGUGCUGACGAGUGGCGAACGGGUGAGUAAUGCAUCGGAACGUGCCCAGUCGUGGGGGAUAACUAUCCGAAAGGAUAGCUAAUACCGCAUACGAUCUGCGGAUGAAAGCGGGGGACCGUCGGGCCUCGCGCGAUUGGAGCGGCCGAUGUCAGAUUAGGUAGUUGGUGGGGUAAAGGCUCACCAAGCCAACGAUCUGUAGCUGGUCUGAGAGGACGACCAGCCACACUGGGACUGAGACACGGCCCAGACUCCUACGGGAGGCAGCAGUGGGGAAUUUUGGACGAUGGGCGCAAGCCUGAUCCAGCAAUGCCGCGUGCAGGAAGAAGGCCUUCGGGUUGUAAACUGCUUUUGUACGGAACGAAACGGCUCUGGUUAAUACCUGGGGCUAAUGACGGUACCGUAAGAAUAAGCACCGGCUAACUACGUGCCAGCCGCCGCGGUAA